rnacentral:rRNA from 1 species
UACGAAGGGGGCUAGCGUUGCUCGGAAUCACUGGGCGUAAAGGGUGCGUAGGCGGGUCUUUAAGUCAGGGGUGAAAUCCUGGAGCUCAACUCCAGAACUGCCUUUGAUACUGAAGAUCUUGAGUCCGGGAGAGGUGAGUGGAACUGCGAGUGUAGAGGUGAAAUUCGUAGAUAUUCGCAAGAACACCAGUGGCGAAGGCGGCUCUCUGGACCGACACUGACGCUGAGGCGCGAAAGCGUGGGGAGCAAACAGG